rnacentral:rRNA from 1 species
UAAUAUUCCUGUACUUGGUGUUACUGCGAAGGGGGGACGGAGAAGGCUAUGUUAGCCGGGCGACGGUUGUCCCGGUUUAAGCAUGUAGGCGGAGGUUCCAGGUAAAUCCGGUACCUUUUUAACGCUGAGGUGUGAUGACGAGGCACUACGGUGCUGAAGUAACAAAUGCCCUGCUUCCAGGAAAAGCCUCUAAGCAUCAGGUAACACGAAAUCGUACCCCAAACCGACACAGGUGGUCAGGUAGAGAAUACCAAGGCGCUUGAGAGAACUCGGGUGAAGGAACUAGGCAAAAUGGUGCCGUAACUUCGGGAGAAGGCACGCUGAUAUGUAGGUGAAGUGAUUUACUCAUGGAGCUGAAAUCAGUCGAAGAUACCAGCUGGCUGCAACUGUUUAUUAAAAACACAGCACUGUGCAAACACGAAAGUGGACGUAUACGGUGUGACGCCUGCCCGGUGCCGGAAGGUUAAUUGAUGGGGUUAUCCGUAAGGAGAAGCUCUUGAUCGAAGCCCCGGUAAACGGCGGCCGUAACUAUAACGGUCCUAAGGUAGCGAAAUUCCUUGUCGGGUAAGUUCCGACCUGCACGAAUGGCGUAAUGAUGGCCAGGCUGUCUCCACCCGAGACUCAGUGAAAUUGAACUCGCUGUGAAGAUGCAGUGUACCCGCGGCAAGACGGAAAGACCCCGUGAACCUUUACUAUAGCUUGACACUGAACACUGGUCCUUGAUGUGUAGGAUAGGUGGGAGGCUUUGAAGUGUGGACGCCAGUCUGCAUGGAGCCAUCCUUGAAAUACCACCCUUUAAUGGCUGGUGUUCUAACGUGGACCCGUAAUCCGGGUUGCGGACAGUGUCUGGUGGGUAGUUUGACUGGGGCGGUCUCCUCCUAAAGAGUAACGGAGGAGCACGAAGGUUAGCUAAUCCUGGUCGGACAUCAGGAGGUUAGUGCAAAGGCAUAAGCUAGCUUGACUGCGAGAGUGACGGCUCGAGCAGGUGCGAAAGCAGGUCUUAGUGAUCCGGUGGUUCUGAAUGGAAGGGCCAUCGCUCAACGGAUAAAAGGUACUCCGGGGAUAACAGGCUGAUACCGCCCAAGAGUUCAUAUCGACGGCGGUGUUUGGCACCUCGAUGUCGGCUCAUCACAUCCUGGGGCUGAAGUAGGUCCCAAGGGUAUGGCUGUUCGCCAUUUAAAGUGGUACGCGAGCUGGGUUUAGAACGUCGUGAGACAGUUCGGUCCCUAUCUGCCGUGGGCGCUGGAGAAUUGAGGGGGGCUGCUCCUAGUACGAGAGGACCGGAGUGGACGCAUCACUGGUGUUCGGGUUGUCAUGCCAAUGGCAUUGCCCGGUAGCUAAAUGCGGAAGAGAUAAGUGCUGAAAGCAUCUAAGCACGAAACUUGCCCCGAGAUGAGUUCUCCCUGAGACUUUAAGUCUCCUGAAGGAACGUUGAAGACGACGACGUUGAUAGGUCGGGUGUGUAAG